UACGUAGGGUGCAAGCGUUGUCCGGAAUUAUUGGGCGUAAAGAGCUCGUAGGCGGUUUGUCGCGUCUGCUGUGAAAACCCGAGGCUCAACCUCGGGCCUGCAGUGGGUACGGGCAGACUAGAGUGCGGUAGGGGAGAUUGGAAUUCCUGGUGUAGCGGUGGAAUGCGCAGAUAUCAGGAGGAACACCAAUGGCGAAGGCAGAUCUCUGGGCCGUAUCUGACGCUGAGGAGCGAAAGCAUGGGGAGCGAACAGG
rnacentral:rRNA from 1 species